CCUACGGGUGGCAGCAGUAGGGAAUCUUUCACAAUGGGCGAAAGCCUGAUGGAGCAACGCCGCGUGCAGGAUGAAGGCCUUCGGGUUGUAAACUGCUUUUAUAAGCGAGAAAUAUGAUGGUAACUUAUGAAUAAGGAGCGGCUAACUACGUGCCAGCAGCCGCGGUCAUACGUAGGAUCCGAGCAUUAUCCGGAGUGACUGGGUGUAAAGAGUUGCGUAGGUGGCAUAAUAAGUAGCUAGUGAAAUCUGGUGGCUCAACCAUUCGGACUAUUAGCUAAACUGUUAAGCUCGAGACCGUUAGGGGUAACUGGAAUUUCGAGUGUAGGAGUGAAAUCCGUAGAUAUUGGAAGGAACACCAAUAGCGAAGGCAGGUUGCUGGGACGGUACUGACGCUGAGGCACGAAAGCGUAGGGAGCGAACGGGAUUAGAUACCCCAGUAGUC
rnacentral:rRNA from 1 species